UUGAAGAGAAAGAGUCGAGGAAGGAAGCAGAUUGUCUUGGUCGAUUUGUGAUGCGUCGGUGAAAAUUUUUCAUUACCCCGACUAUUUUCGGGCUUGAGCUCAGUACGAUAUAUUUAUUAGCGUCGCGACACCAUGCGCGUGAACAGAUUGGCUUUGACGUUCGUUUAUCGAAAGCGACGGCUUUGUUCCGCUAUAUGGGACGGCAUGGCGGUGUGAUUCGGAACUACGGAUGGUGUACGCGCAUUCCCCCGUCGCAGCGCGGAGGAAUAACCGGGUUCGUGAUCUCUGACGGAGACGUUUAAUGGUGAAUCCAGUAGAUUGUAAAUCGCAAAAGUAUCUUUUUAAUUGAAUCGUCGUAAAUUACCAGUAUCGACUAAGGCGAAUUAACUUACUUCGCAGUGAU
rnacentral:misc_RNA from 1 species